GCGGUCUAACUAAGUCGUACGUAAGGAGCUGCCUAGGGUAAAAUCGGUGACUGGGGCU
rnacentral:rRNA from 1 species